UGGGGAAUUUUGGACAAUGGGCGAAAGCCUGAUCCAGCAAUGCCGCGUGUGUGAAGAAGGCCUUCGGGUUGUAAAGCACUUUUGUCCGGAAAGAAAUCCUCUGGGUUAAUACCUCGGGGGGAUGACGGUACCGGAAGAAUAAGCACCGGCUAACUACGUGCCAGCAGCCGCGGUAAUACGUAGGGUGCAAGCGUUAAUCGGAAUUACUGGGCGUAAAGUGUGCGCAGGCGGUUUUGUAAGACGGAUGUGAAAUCCCCGGGCUUAACCUGGGAACUGCAUUCGUGACUGCAAGGCUAGAGUAUGGCAGAGGGGGGUAGAAUUCCACGUGUAGCAGUGAAAUGCGUAGAGAUGUGGAGGAAUACCGAUGGCGAAGGCAGCCCCCUGGGCCAAUACUGACGCUCAUGCACGAAAGCGUGGGGGAGCAAAACAGGAUUAGAUACCCUGGUAGUCCACGCCCUAAAACGAUGUCAACUAGUUGUUGGGGAUUCAUUUCCUUAGUAACGUAGCUAACGCGUGAAGUUGACCGCCUGGGGAGUACGGUCGCAAGAUUAAAACUCAAAUGAAUUGACGGGGUCAUAGCUGUUUCCU
rnacentral:rRNA from 1 species